AGCACCAGAGUACUGUGGUGGACAACGUUUCUUUGUUCUCUGGCUUUCAAGUUUAAGGGGUGCUUGGACUAUCUUGCAUCGGUGGAUAUGAAAAUAGUGGUAACCUACCCUACGAAACAGCUAUUUGCACAUAAGCUUAACAGUUCCCUGUGAGAUGCUGUGAAAGUCAGCAGGGAAGUGCGAUGUAGAAGAAAUGACUGCCAGAAGCUUGCUAAGGAACCGCACAACCUGUGUGGGCAGCAGACAAAAUAUUCAUCAAACGAAGUUUUGCACCAAAGUUAUGAGAGCAGCACAGAUGUUGUUUUAGCGUAAUGGAGUGAUGGAAGUGCUGCGCCAAUCAUGGAGUGCUUAGCAGUCGCCUGCUCGACCAGCCACAGUGAGUCAUUGGAGGCAGUGCUGCAGCACCAACAAUCACUCGUUGGAAGAAAGGAAUGAGGUGGUCAUCAACACCCUGCUGCCAGUUCAACACUCCUCAGUCAAAACACAAGACGCCUGCUUGGCGGCAAAGUCAAUCCAGUUUUAGACAAGAGUUUUGUACCGUAGACUUCGUGUGUGGUUUACUGCGAAUAAAUGUUUAUGCUGAGA